GGAAGGACGCUAUAUAAACAUGGUCUGGGUGAAUCAGGUGUUAGUUCUUGAUUCACUGCAUUAGGUAAAAUGAGGAGCUGACUCCUACUGAGGAGAAUUUCAGCAGCACUUAAAAGGCCACAAGGAGAUUAAUCUGUCAACCAAAAUGUCCUAAUGAACGCCAUAAGAAACUAGAUUAACUUUGAGAAAUCCAGCUUGUAAGAGAGAAUGUGUUUUAACUCACAUUUAAACUACAUGAUGUUGGCAUUGGUCUUUUUUUCCCCUCAAUCCAAACAAUUUAUUUUUAAAAAAACAUUUAUUCAGCUCAUGAUUCUGGAAGCUGGGAGGUCCAAGGUAGAAGGACUACAUCUAAGGAAGACCUUCUUGCUGCCAAAGACCCUGCAGAAUCCCCAGGCUUCACAAGGCUCUAUGUGAUGAGAGGGGCUUAUGACAGAAACCAAACCAGACUGCAUAAGAGCCCUACUCUCAAGACCAUACAUGGAUUGAUCCACUAACCCAUAAAUGGACUCAUUCAUGAGGGUGGUACCUUCAUGGCCUAGUCAUUUCGGAAAGGUGUCACUGUCCCAACCCCUUAACACUUCACAGUGGAGAUCAGUUGGAACUUGAGUUCUGAAUGGGCCAAUCAAAUCACAGCAGUAGCCACCUCUUCAGCUGCCCCCGCCAUCACAAAUAGUAGUAGUGGAGCCCUUCAGAGCUUAAAGGAAAAAAGAAAAUGUUUUACGUGUGUCUCUUUAAAUACAUCAGACAGAGCAAAUAAUUGUUACAGGAAGACUCGCCCGGCUAUGUUUGUAACUGAACACAGCUGUGGAGUGUUGGCUAACUGUCCACAGGCUCCCGAUCUGACAUCGGCCACAGCUGCAAAAAAAGAAAGCUAAGGAUACAGUGAAUGAGAAAGACACGUCCAUCCGACCUCAAAAGGAGGUCAGCGUGUUUUAUACCCAACGUGGAACUAAGGCUUAGUGUGUAGGUUUUAUAAUAUACUGCAUUUAUUUUAAUUCAAUUGAUAGAUGCGGUAUUGGGGCUCAAGACUUGAACUCAAGAUCUUUGCCCUCAUUAGAAUUUCAUUAUUUUGAAAUUGGAUUUUUCUUUAAAGUCGCCGGAACAUUAUUUUUGGAAGAUUCUGAUAAAGGGAAUUUUGAAGUGACCCUUCAUAUAUAGUUACCACUGACUGUUCCAGCCCCAGUAUCUCACUUCUCCAUUGUGAACCUGCCUGUGUAUGUUCAUUCCUGAAGCAAGAAAAGAAGGGCAAAAAAUCCUCUAAGCUCAAACCUCCAUGAGAGAAACUGAGCAACACAGCAGACCUGCCAUCCCUCCAGGCUUUGAAGUAAUGGGGAAGGGGAGAAUAUUACUGUUCUGAUUGGCUAACGAAAGCCUCAUCGCUCACAAACACAACCGUAUGGGGCUUUGUAUGGCAUUCACACUUAGCUAACAGUUAGCUACCCUGAUUCUUCCAGUCAGCACUCGCUGAGAUGACCCCCAUAUUACAGUGUUUUUUUCUUCUUAGAGCAACUGUAGUAGAGGACUGUGUGGGUGUCUUAUAGGGGAAGACCAGGAAGCUUGCUUAGCAUUUGAACACAGACCUAUUUCCGGUAGCUUCUGCGUUUUGUAACCCCCUUACUGUGUGCCGCUGUGAGUCUUUGUGCGUGAGAUGCGUGACUGAGAGAUGCUCUCUGCUCCCAAGUAACAGAGCAGCAGAAGAGGUGGUGCCAAGCUUGUCGGCAGGAGAGAGUGUGGUCUGGGGCAGGUUGCAGGCUUUCUGUGGUGUUCACAGAUGUCCUCAGUGCGGUGACGCUGAGGGAACGGGGUGGUUAGAACGCAGUUGUUUGGUGCUGGGGGUCAAACUUUGGACCUUCACAUUCUAAGCUUGUCGUUGGUCACUGAACAACAUCUCCAGAACCUAGGACGUGAGUAGUUUACGAUAAGGACUGCAGAUGUAAGAGCUGGAAAAGCCACUGUGAGUAGAGUGAGCCCCGCAGCACCAGUGGCCCACUUGGAGAGAUAAGGACACUGUUAGAGUGAGCAGAGAGUAAAUAGAGGAAUCUAGAGAUGAUCCUGCAUGUGCAAGCAGCCCAGAAGCAUGGUAGUGUUUUUACCCCAAUUCAAAGCAGGCUCCAAAGAGGAUCCUUUUGUCUGCUACCUUAUUCCCAUUAAGUAAAAACCCAGUCUAAGCCCUUCCCUUAACACACAUGCAAAAACAGAGGCCCAGAGAGGCAAAGUAGCUUAUCUGAAACCACACAGCUCAUACCAGCGGAUUACAAAUGCGUUUCCAGUCUGGUUUCUAGACCAUCCAGGCAAAUGCUCUUCCCAAUACCAACUGACUUCCUGUGCUUUUGAGGGGAAACAGCACAGGGUCGUGUGGUUAUGCCUGAAUUUGCUUAGUAUCACUUGAAGUGUUGAUAGAGUUUAUCAGAUAGAGAAGCUGUCUUUUAAAUAAAUAAAUAAAUAAAUAAAUAAAUAAAUAAAUAAAUAAAUAAAUAAAUAAAUAAAAGAAAACCCAGCGAAGUACAUGAAUGGCCCACACACCCAAUUUCAGGACACAUACAUACAUGCAUACACACAAAUAUGUUUAGUUGUGUAUAUAAAGCAUAAAUGCACACGUCCACAAAACCAUAGGUGUACAUGAGCACACAUAUAACUGAUUAAUCUACAUAUAUCUAUGUGCACACAUUUUAUCUUUUUCCACGCAUUGAAACAAACAACAACCGUUUUCUCUUCACUCUUGUAAAAUCUGUUGACUCGAAUCUUUUUCCCGGUUUUCCCUCAGGGUGCUGUCUCUAGGGUGCUGCUGGCUCUGCUGUACUCUGCUUUCCCUCAGCUUUUCAGGGGUUUGCUCACUCUUUGCCUAUGUGACUGUUUAUUAAACCCCUUUCCUACAGAGGCAAGAUCAACGAGAGCCAGGGGCAACCCCUAGAAGCUGCUCUGGGUUCUAGUUUUUUGUCAAUUGAAAUUUUCCCGCUUCCUCUGGAAAAAAACAAAAAACAAAAAAGACAGAAUGACCUCCCAGGCCUUUUGUCACCUCCCUGUGGGACAAUCAAGAUUGGCUUUCCUAUUGCCUAGGAGACAGGAGACGGCCCUGUGUUAAACAGCACAUCUGCUCUUGCAAAAUAGUUGAGGUUCCAAAGCCAACCUCUGUCAACCCACAACCACCAGUAACUUCAUCUCAGAUGAAGUUCUAGCCUUUGCAGGCAGGCACACACACAUACACACAUAUACCACCCACAUACACACAGAGACAUGCAUACAAACAAACAUAUACACAUACACAAAAUCAUAUACAAACAUGCACACAGGCAUACACCCAUACACAUACCACCCACAUACACACACAUGUACACACAUACAUACACACACCUAUAUGUAUACACACACACAGAGACAUACAUGCACACACAUACACACACACAAACAUAAAAACAUACACACAUACACAUACCACCCACAUACACACACAUGUACACACAUACAUACACACACCUAUAUGUAUACACACACAGAGAGACAUACAUGCACACACAUACACACAAGCAUACAAACAUGCACACAGGCACACACACAUACACACACAUACCACCCACAUACACACACGCACACACACAUACACACAGAGACACACAUACAUACACAUACACAUACAUGCAUACACACACAGAGACACACACACAUGCAUAUAAUUAAAAACAAAAUCAACCAUAUCUUUAAAUGACUAAGCUUUUCUGUACCAAUUCGGAGGGCAGAACCAUAUAUUUUCCUCUAGAAUUAUUAUACUAUUUUUCAAUAUUUUGAUUUUAAAUUUUUAUUAUUAAUUUUGUUUAUGUAUUUGUGUGCACAUGUGUGGUCAAGUGCAAAAGCAUGUGUAUAUGCAUGUGUGUGGGGGCAAAGGUUCCAAUGUCAGGUGUUUUCCUCAGUCACUUUCCACCUUAUUUUCUGAGACAGGGUCUCUCAUCAACCCUGGAUCUCACCGACUGAGCUAAGUAAUAGCAGGAGAGGGACCCCGAGAAGGUCCUCCUGUCUUGUCCUCUCCAUCACUAGUGUUAGGGGUGCACAUUGCCACCCUUGGCUCUUUACGUGAGUGCUAGGGAUUGAACUGAGGUCCUCUUGUUUGUGACGUAAGCACUUACAGAGUCACCUCCUCAGACCCUAGUCUAAAAAGUGCUAUUAUUUGCCAAUAAAAGUUUAUAGUUAAUAUGACAUUUAAGUAUGUUCUAAAUGUCAAUAUACAGUGUUUUCUGGUCCCCUCAUACAUAGUAAACACACACAAAAAAUGACUUUAAAAAAUGAAUCUUGUAAAAGGAAUGCUUUUAAGUAUCAGAUUUUUAGUUUGAGUUAUAAUAGCAUUAAUAAAUUGAAUUAACCUUCCACCUUCUUUUCCUUGAAUGGAAGAGGAUGAGCCGUUAAUUAAUUAAUUAUUUCAUUAAUCUCAUGAUCGCCGCAGAUUCUCUAAACCCACAGAUAAAAUCUCCCUGAAUGUAAACACAAUGCCCAUUGCCAUGGCAACGGAAUCAGAGACAGCAUCAAACCAUGGCAGAUAGUUACCCACCAGCCCCACCUUUAAUUUUCAGAAAGCACUGUGGCCUCUUCAGAGAAAGUGCUCAGAAAGACUGUGAGCCCCACUGUGCCUGGUGACAGGGCCUGGGGGCUCUCCCAGCUCUGUAGGAGAGAGACAUUUUUCCAGAGGCUCACAGGUGUUUUGUUUCUCCAGUGUGUGAUGUCCCAUCCAGUCCAUGUAUCAAAUCUUCUGACUUUUACCCUUUGAAAGCAUGUGAAGGAAAAGGCCUGCCUCAUCCGGUCAAACACCUUUGUCUUGUUAAUGCUAUUCCAAUUGUGGGUCCCCUUGAUCAAGAACCUUCAGAGAACACCCGCAGAGUCUCAGGUCUUUCGACUGUACAGGAUUUCUUCAAGCAAGAAUUGACUUUCAUUAGCACAUCCAAUGAAACUAUUUUUAAGCCUGUU